rnacentral:rRNA from 1 species
UACGGGGGGAGCAAGCGUUGUUCGGAUUUACUGGGCGUAAAGGGCGCGUAGGCGGCGCAACAAGUCACUUGUGAAAUCUCCGGGCUUAACCCGGAGCGGCCAAGUGAUACUGUCGUGCUAGAGUGCGGAAGGGGCUACUGGAAUUCUCGGUGUAGCGGUGAAAUGCGUAGAGAUCGGCAGGAACACCCAGGGGGAAACCAGCCGACUGGGCAUCUACUGACGCUGAGGUGCGAGAGCGUGGGGAGCGAACCGG